CCCUUCCAGCCCUUCCCGGCGGGCUCGGCUCCCUCAGGGCGGCGCAGGAUCCCCUCGUGUAAAACGCCUGAAUAAUCGUCCUCUCCCAUGGAGAGCUUGUUCCUCUGUGAUAGUCGAGCUGUUGGGAGUGUGGAGAGGCUGAGAAGUGAAUCCACCCGGACUGUCUCCCUUUGACUCUUUAGGAAGAACUUUUUGGAACACUUUAUUUUAUAUAUAUUUAUUUGACAAAGCCCUAAAAUAUUAUAAAUCCAGCGAGUCUCCUCCUCCACAGUUUAUUUAAGUAAAAUAAACCUUUUUAAGGAGAGGAAAUGUCUAAUUUUACUCCUCACUUUUGGCCAGUCUGGACUGUGCUGAUGGAUGAGAGGAGAGGGAGCAGGAAAAUGAAGGAAGAGAAGGAAUAAAACAUGGAAUAAGUGCUGAGGUUUUUCCCAGCAGACACACAGGGAAGGAGCUGAGCUGGGAAACGUGUUGUCAGCGUGACAUGAUCCAUCCAACAUUCCCAAAUAUUCCCAGGUACAAAAUCUUCCUCUUACACCUCACAUUUGGGCAUUAUUCUGUCCAAAGACUGGAGUUUUCUGGGGUGGAUGUUCCGUGAGGGGCUGAAAACCCCCGACUGGAAUGUGUUGGCUUCCUCUCCUGCUUCAAAUCUCUUCUCCAAACUCCAGCAUUCCCUGAUUAAUCUCCAGCCUGGGCUUACUCAGGGAAACCCAGAGCUUUGGAGCCCGUUGGAUUGUCAAACAAAAGCUCAAAUCAACAGCAAGUCCCAAACUCAGCCAGGAAUUAACCCAAGGUCGGUUUGGGUUGAAAGGACCCACUGGAAAGGAAAAAGAAAACAACCUGAAAUUGUGGUU